rnacentral:rRNA from 1 species
AGUGAACGCUGGCGGUAGGCCUAACACAUGCAAGUCGAACGGCAGCACAGUAAGAGCUUGCUCUUACGGGUGGCGAGUGGCGGACGGGUGAGGAAUACAUCGGAAUCUACUUUUUCGUGGGGGAUAACGUAGGGAAACUUACGCUAAUACCGCAUACGACCUACGGGUGAAAGCAGGGGAUCUUCGGACCUUGCGCGAUUGAAUGAGCCGAUGUCGGAUUAGCUAGUUGGCGGGGUAAAGGCCCACCAAGGCGACGAUCCGUAGCUGGUCUGAGAGGAUGAUCAGCUACACUGGAACUGAAAGACGGUCCAGACUCCUACGGGAUGCAGCAGUGGGGAAUAUUGGACAAUGGGCGCAAGCCUGAUCCAGCCAUACCGCGUGGGUGAAGAAGGCCUUCGGGUUCUAAAGCCCUUUUGUUGGGAAAGAAAAGCAGCAGGUUAAUACCCCGCUGUUCUGACGGUACCCAAAGAAUAAGCACCGGCUAACUUCGUG